UUAUUUUUCUCUUAGUUCUGGAAACCCUUUUGCCCGUACUCUAAGACUUUAUUUGGACAGGAGUGGGAAAAAGGAAGGUGAACCAAUAAAAUGAAUGAACAAGAGCAGACCUUUGGAGCCCAACUUCCUGGAUUUCAGUGCCAAUUCUUCCAUUUACGAUCUAGGAGAUCAGCUUCUUCCUUCCUACUUAUGACCCAUCAACAAGAGUGAGGGGUAUUCUUUUCUGUGAAAAACACUGUCCUGCGCCGCAGUUCCUGCCCUCACAGUAUUCACUAUCAAGUUGAAAGGAGGCUCUGCAGUACCCGUGGGCUGACCUCCAUCUGACGGAUGCUGCCCAUGUAAGAUUUAUGACUCCACUUGAAAGCCUGAGGCUUUGGAGGAAGAGACUGAACACAGGUGCUUCAAUG